rnacentral:rRNA from 1 species
CCUACGGGAGGCAGCAGUGGGGAAUGUUGCGCAAUGAUCGUAAGAGUGACGCAGCGACGCCGCGUGAAUGACGAAGGCCUUCGGGUCGUAAAGUUCUUUCGACAGGGAAGAAAAUGCCUAUAAGUAACUGUGUAUGUAUUGACGGUACCGGUAGAAGCAGCCCCGGCUAACUCCGUGCCAGCAGCCGCGGUAAUACGGAGGGGGCGAGCGUUGGUCGGAGGGACUGGGCGUAAAGAGCACGUAGGCGGUGUUGUAAGUCAUGAGUCAAAGACUAGAGCUCAACUUUAGUACGGCUAGUGUUACUCUCAUACUAGAGUAUCAGAUCGGCUUGCCGAAUUCCUGGUGUAGCGGU